ensembl:miRNA cin-mir-7 cin-mir-7
AUAUCCGCACCCGGUUGGAAGACUAGUGAUUUUGUUGUUAUAGCAACAACAAUCUAUGGUCUCCUGCACGGAAGUGGA